AGUGAACGCUGGCGGUAGGCCUAACACAUGCAAGUCGAACGGCAGCACAGUAAGAGCUUGCUCUUACGGGUGGCGAGUGGCGGACGGGUGAGGAAUACAUCGGAAUCUACUUUUUCGUGGGGGAUAACGUAGGGAAACUUACGCUAAUACCGCAUACGACCUACGGGUGAAAGCAGGGGAUCUUCGGACCUUGCGCGAUUGAAUGAGCCGAUGUCGGAUUAGCUAGUUGGCGGGGUAAAGGCCCACCAAGGCGACGAUCCGUAGCUGGUCUGAGAGGAUGAUCAGCCACACUGGGACUGAGACACGGUCCAGACUCCUACGGGAGGCGGCAGUGGGGAAUAUUGGACAAUGGGCGCAAGCCUGAUCCAGCCAUACCGCGUGGGUGAAGAAGGCCUUCGGGUUGUAAAGCCCUUUUGUUGGGAAAGAAAAGCAGCAGGUUAAUACCCCGCUGUUCUGACGGUACCCAAAGAAUAAGCACCGGCUAACUUCGUG
rnacentral:rRNA from 1 species